rnacentral:rRNA from 1 species
UACGUAGGGGGCUAGCGUUGUCCGGAAUCAUUGGGCGUAAAGAGCGCGUAGGCGGCUAGAUAAGUCCGGUGUGAAAGUCACAGGCUCAACCUGUGAAUGCCGCUGGAAACUGUCUGGCUAGAGUCCGGAAGGGGCGAGUGGAAUUCCUGGUGUAGCGGUGGAAUGCGUAGAUAUCAGGAGGAACACCGGUGGUGUAGACGGCUCUCUGGACCGUAACUGACGCUGAGACACGAAAGCGUGGGUAGCAAACAGG